rnacentral:rRNA from 1 species
UACGGGGGGGCAAGCGUUGUUCGGAAUUACUGGGCGUAAAGGGUUCGUAGGUGGCCAACUAAGUCAGACGUGAAAUCCCUCAGCUUAACUGGGGAACUGCGUCUGAGACUGGAUGGCUUGAGUGCAGGAGAGGAACGCGGAAUUCCAGGUGUAGCGGUGAAAUGCGUAGAUAUCUGGAGGAACACCGGUGGCGAAGGCGGCGUCUGGACUGCUACUGACACUGAGGAACGAAAGCCAGGGGAGCAAACGGG